rnacentral:rRNA from 1 species
CCUACGGGGGGCUGCAGUAGGGAAUCUUCCGCAAUGGACGAAAGUCUGACGGAGCAACGCCGCGUGAGCGAAGAAGGUCUUCGGAUCGUAAAGCUCUGUUGUCGGGGAAGAACAAGUACGGUAGGAAAUGGCCGUACCUUGAAGGUACCCGACGAUAAAGCCACGGCUAACUACGUGCCAGCAGGCGCGGUAAUACGUAGGUGGCAAGCAUUGUCCGGAAUUACUGGGCGUAAAGCGCGUGCAGGCGGUCCUUUAAGUCUGAUGUGAAAUCUUGCGGCUCAACCGCAAGCGGUCAUUGGAAACUGGGGGAAUUGAGUGCAGAAGAGGAAAGCGGAAUUCCACGUGUAGCGGUGAAAUGCGUAGAGAUGUGGAGGAACACCAGUGGCGAAGGCGGCUUUCUGGUCUGUAACUGACGCUGAGGCGCGAAAGCGUGGGGAGCAAACAGGAUUAGAUACCCCUUGUAGUC